UAAAAAUAUAAUGAAUAGAAAAAAAGAAUGAGAAAGAAAUGAUAGUACUAUCUUCUGUCAAAAAAUCGUUUUAAGGUACCAAUGUCUCCAACAGCUGUAAUGACAUCCAUUUCUGGAACAAGCAAACUAAUGAUUCGGUCCUGAGGCUUUCCGUUACGCUGCUUCGUGCGCAAACGAAUGAUUGCAAGAGUUUCUAAAGAAUUCGCGACAUCGCAAAAUUCCGAACUUGUUAAUGGAUAAAUCAAACGAUCUCGAAGACACAAAGAACUGUAUUUUUCAAAUACAUCGGCAACACUCAAUGAGGUUUUUUCACAAACAACAAGCGUACAAAGGAUGGCUUUCUGUUGAAGACCAAGGUUUUUUAAACGAGCACUAGCAGAUUGGCUCAUAGCAGAUGUCGCUCGGACAACAUGAGCAAUUGAUGCUCUUGGUAUAUCAACAGAAGAUAAUGUGUUGUCAUGUUGAGCUUUCCAUUCUCUUUCCGCAAGUUCAAUUGCAUGCCUACAUAUGUCUAAUGCUUUUCUCAAGUCACCACUUGAAGCUGCAACUUUCCGGGCACAUAAUUCAAUUGCAGCAGGAUGUAUAAAAGGUGUUUCAUCAGCAUGCUGAGAUACAACAUUUAUACUAUCAUCGCUUACUUCAGAGAUUGAUUUAAUAGGAGUAAAAGGAUUGUUUUUUUCUGAUGUGGUAGCGGCGGUUUUCAAACGCGCUUUUAUAAUUGUUGAGAUUUCUUGAGCAGUAUAAGGCGUAAAAGAGAGUAAUUUGGGAGUAAUAUGCUUUGUUCGUAAACGAGGGAGAAAUCGAUCUGUCAUGUCUAAGGCAUUUGCAAUGCCUACCAAAAUUAAUCUCGAAGUCGGUCGAGAGGGCCAUUCAAAAAGCGUGUACAGAACCUGCUGUUCGCGAGCAAUCAAGUGAUCCAUUUCAUCUAAAACAAUAAUGACUGGGUUAUAUAAUUCAUUGGCGGACUGGGUGAAAUGCGACUC